GACGAACGCUGGCGGCGCGCUUAACACAUGCAAGUCGAGCGAAGCGGCGGACGGGUGAGUAACACGUGAGUAACCUGCCUUAGACAUUGGGAUAGCCUCGGGAAACCGGGAUUAAUACCAAAUGGUCUAAGAUGGACUCGCGUCCCAUUAGUUGGUUGGUGAGGUAACGGCCCACCAAGGGGACGAUGGGUAGCCGGGCAGUGAGAGUGAGCGGACACAUUGAACCUGGGAAGCGGUGCGGAAUCUACGGAAGGGAGGAAUGGGGAAUAUAGCACAAUGGAGGGAACUCUGAAGCAGUGAGGCCGGGUAAACGAAGAAGGCUUUCGAGUAGUAAAGUUCUUUUAUAUGGGAAGCGGUACCAUAAGAAAAAGCCCCGGCUAACUACGUGCCAGCAGCCGCGGUAAUUC
rnacentral:rRNA from 1 species